AUUUGACAUGGAAAUUUAAUGUGAUCAAUAAACUUUGAAUGACUUUGAUGUUAACGAUGUAUGAAUGCCAAUAAUUUCAUCGAAAAUCAUAAUACGAAUGACAACAAUUAGCAAAUCAAGUCACCUGGUGCUAUUGGACACAAUGAUUUGCGAGAAUUUGCGCAGAAAGUUAACGAUACUUUAGGUGUCGAGAUGUUCUUUGACGUCUUUAAUAACGGUAAUUUCACUCUGGUGGUACCUGACAGCAACACGUGGGAUAAAUCCGGUUUUG